AGUGAACGCUGGCGGUAGGCCUAACACAUGCAAGUCGAACGGCAGCACAGUAAGAGCUUGCUCUUACGGGUGGCGAGUGGCGGACGGGUGAGGAAUACAUCGGAAUCUACUUUUUCGGGGGGGAUAACGAAGGGAAACUUACGCUAAUACCGCAUACGACCUACGGGUGAAAGCAGGGGAUCUUCGGACCUUGCGCGAUUGAAUGAGCCGAUGUCGGAGUAGCUAGUUGGCGGGGUAAAGGCCCACCAAGGCGACGAUCCGUAGCUGGUCUGAGAGGAUGAUCAGCCACACUGGAACUGAGACACGGUCCAGACUCCUACGGGAGGCAGCAGUGGGGAAUAUUGGACAAUGGGCGCAAGUCUGAUCCAGCCACACCGCGUGGGUGAAGAAGGCCUUCGGGUUGUAAAUCCCUUUUGUUGGGAAAGAAAAGCAGCAGGUUAAUACCCCGCUGUUCUGACGGUACCCAAAGAAUAAGCACCGGCUAACUUCGUG
rnacentral:rRNA from 1 species